AGGACCGGGCCCGUGGCAUUCGGUUCUUUGGCUCUCUCCAGGGUCGGGCCCCCGUGGAGGAGAAAUUAAAGGCGCACCGGUUAUUCCACUCCUGCUGUUCCCCUCUCCUGACUCCGGCGCAUUGCGAUGGAGCGUGGAAAGAGAUUCCCCUAAGUGACUGUGCUGAAAUUCCACUGCCAUGGCUUGCAGACAUUGGCUGUAGAAGAAGACUGAUUGAAUCCCAGGUGAGGUCCAGAGCGGCCCGUCACCCAAGCCUGCGUUGGUAACGUCAGCAUGCACGGGAUCAUCAGAACCAAAUGAGGCCUUCAGCGCUCUGUCUCGCUCUAUUCCCCGCUGCCCCAUCAACCACACAAACACAGAUUGCACCCACAGGAGAAACUGAAAGCUGGACACAAUGAGGAGCAAACAGCAUCUGCAACUGAAGUGAUGAUGACUUUCCAGCUGCUGCAUGUGUCCAAAAAACUGGUGCAUCUCCCCCCAAAAAGACAAUAUAACAGUGAAAUAUUCCUUGACACUCGGUGGACAAUACAUAAUGAUCCUAACCAAUAAAUAUUCAACCAACC
ensembl:lncRNA